rnacentral:tRNA from 1 species
UGGGGAGUAGGCUCAGUGACAGAACAUCUGCUUUCCAUGCAGGUCUCAGGUUCAACCCCUGGCAUUUCCAA